CAGUCGCCGCGGGAAUACGAAGGGUGCAAGCGUUAAUCGGAAUUACUGGGCGUAAAGGGCGUGUAGGCGGCCUGGGGCGUCCCAUGUGAAAGGCCACGGCUCAACCGUGGUGGAGCGUGGGAUACGCUCAGGCUAGAGGGUGGGAGAGGGUGGUGGAAUUCCCGGAGUAGCGGUGAAAUGCGCAGAUACCGGGAGGAACGCCGAUGGCGAAGGCAGCCACCUGGUCCACUUCUGACGCUGAGGCGCGAAAGCGUGGGGAGCAAACCGGAUUAGAUACCCCCGUAGUCCCUGUCUCUUAUAC
rnacentral:rRNA from 1 species